AUUAUGUAUCCUGUUGAUAGCUUGCUAUACAAUCACGCAAGCUAAUACUAUUCAAAACCCACUCGGGGGUUAAUAUUCUUAGUGUAUGACCAGCAUCGAUAGUUGGCCUAUUUUUACAAAUAUCUCUAUAAUAAUAAACAUUUAAAAUCCAAUUCACUUGUGUCCAUCAUCAGUCGGUGAACCUGCGACUGACGCUUUCACUCUGCAGCAUAGCAGUGCAGUGCACUCCAGUACAACUAGUCGACCACAGAGAAAAAGAGCUGCAUUUUUAAACUAGGCAGGAGUAUUCAACUGCUGAUAAUUGGAAUUAAUUAACAGAGGCCCACAUAGCAAGCCUUUCUCUCACCAUUUAGGUAGACCCAAAUAAUCCCCCAAUACAUUUGAAAUUGUUUUUCACCCUACGUCAACGUAGCUAAAUAGUUCAUGUAUUAUUAAAAACUGUGAGCUUGUUUGACAAUGAAGGAAAUAACACUUGAUCUUGUGAGUUGAAAAUCCCAUUAAUCCCAUUGUAAAACUUAAUAAUGUGAUCAAUUUGCAACAAAGGCUAGAGAGAUUUGAAAUUUCUAUUUCAAUCUUAAAUAGAUAUGCCACUCAAAGCCACACUAGGAUCACAGACAAAAGCUUUGGUCAGGAAAUAUUUGCUUUUAUUUCAUACAAUUAAAAAACAAACUAUGAAUGAAUGCACACAGACAAAUACCAAGGUUUCAAACCAAGUAUAAACAACUUCAAGUAAGAAAAAAGAUAGUGAUACAAUAAAUAUGUUUUGCUGAAAUAUUACCUUCGAUGUCUGCAAAAUGUAUGCUCUCAAGUAUGGUAGAAUAGUCCCAAUUUAAAUGAGAAUACAAUUCCUAUCAAUCCAGUUUAAAUGUUAUGUUUUAAAAAAAAAAAAAUGUAGGCUUAGAGAAGUACUUUUGUAUUCCCUCGGUUUACCCUAGGAAAUAUUUCCUUGGUUUACCCAUACAAAUGUAUUAAAUCAUAAUGAUAUCAAUUCAAUCAAUAAUACUCAAUGGUGGAGGGACAAUGUAUUUAAGUUUACAUUUCAAUGUUUCAAGACCUUAUUCCACUUUCAAGAAUGAUGCCCAUUUAAUGUUUUUUUGAAUGGCAGUGAAAAAAAAAUGAAAAAAGAGAAAAGAAGAUUCCAUGAUUCCAGCAGGACAAGAAAAUGGUCGUAUUCACACACUUAUCAAGAGAACAUCCCUGGUCAUCUCUACUGCCUCUGAUCUGGGGGACUCGCUAAACACAAAUUCUUAGUUUGUAAAUUAUGUUUGAGUGUUGGAGUGUACCCCUGGAUAUCCAUUAAAAAACAGGAAAUGUGGUUGAUAGGGGUUGGUAGUCCAGGGCAGAAUUCAUAAGGUACAGAGCGGCAGGCUCCGGGUCGGGGGCAGGCAGAGGUCAGUAAUCCAGGGCAGAGGCAAAAGGUACAGAACUGCAGGCAGGCUCAGAUCAAAAACCAGGAAAACUAGAAAACAGGCUCAAGGAAACAGGCGUAAGCCUGCCUGCUGUUCUGAAAAACACGCUGGUAGGCUUGACGGGACAAGACAAACUGGCAACAGACAAACAGAGAACAUAGGUAUAAAUGCACAGGGGAUAAUAGGGGAAGAUGUGCGACACCUGGAGGGGGGUGGAGCCAAGCCAAAAGACAGGUGAAACAGAGCAGGGUGUGACACUUUUACCAGGUGAAGCUGGUUGAGAGAAUGCCAAGAGUGUGCAAAGCUGUCAUCAAGGAAAAGGGUGGCUACUUUGAAGAACCUCAAAUAUAAAACAUUUUUUGCUUUUUUGGUUACUACAUGAUUCCAUAUGUGUUAUUUCAUAGUUGAUGUCUUCACUAUUAUUCUACAAUGUAGAAAAUAGUAAAAACAAAGAUAAACCCUUGAAUGAGUAGGUGUGUGCAAACGUUUGACUGGUACUGUAUAUUUUAGCAAUUACAUUUACUUUUGUAUUUAUAUUUAAAAACCAAAUACUUUUAGACUUUUAGUUAAGUAGUAUUUUAUUGGGUGACUUUCACUUUUAUUUUCGAUUAAGGUAUCUUUACUUUUAUUCAACUAUGACAAUUGAGUACUUUUUCCACCACUGUGUGUGUGUGUAGUUGCAUUCCUGCCAUUCUUUUAAUGCAUAAAUAUUUCAUAAACUUGUAGUAACUUGGGUCAAGUACCAUAAAUGUUUUGUGUUUUUGUAUUAAUGUGUAAUAUUGUUAAUAUUAUAAUAAUAAUUGGGAUAAUCAACAUAAUUAAAUGGUGUAUCAAUGUGUGUAUGUUUCCGUUGGCUCUCUGUUUUGAAAACAAAAAAUGAACAAACAGUGAAUUCCAGUCAAUUUUUUUAACACUAUGUACCUUAAAAUAAAUACAAUAUAUACAACAAUAUUUUUUUUAAGUAACGAUAAAUACAGCAAGCUAUCGUUUUAAAGCCCUUUUUCCGAAAUGUACUGUUUUCUAAGGCAAGAAAUAGCUGUUUUAUUAGUGUUUGUUUGUUUGUGAAAUGGUUGUUGUUCCUGGAUGGUACAUUUAAUUGAGUUUGUAAUGGAUUUUGUAACAUGUUAAAAAUGAUUACAUGUUCUUGAACAAUCAA